rnacentral:rRNA from 1 species
AACGAACGCUGGCGGCAUGCCUAACACAUGCAAGUCGAACGAAGGCUUCGGCCUUAGUGGCGCACGGGUGCGUAACGCGUGGGAAUCUGCCCUUUGGUUCGGAAUAACAGCUGGAAACGGCUGCUAAUACCGGAUGAUGACGAGAGUCCAAAGAUUUAUCGCCAGAGGAUGAGCCCGCGUUGGAUUAGGUAGUUGGUGGGGUAAAGGCCUACCAAGCCGACGAUCCAUAGCUGGUCUGAGAGGAUGAUCAGCCACACUGGGACUGAGACACGGCCCAGACUCCUACGGGAGGCAGCAGUGGGGAAUAUUGGACAAUGGGCGCAAGCCUGAUCCAGCAAUGCCGCGUGAGUGAUGAAGGCCCUAGGGUUGUAAAGCUCUUUUACCCGGGAAGAUAAUGACUGUACCGGGAGAAUAAGCCCCGGCUAACUCCGUGCCAGCCGCCGCGGUAACAC